UCCCUCCGUCAAGCAGCCGGCGACGCCCAUCAACGCCGGCGAGCAAAGAGGGAAGGAUGCUACUGGUGAGGAAUUAGUCAAGCCUUAUACUCCGACUCACUGGAUUCUGAUAUUGGAUACUUUAAGCUUGUUUUAAAGGCCUUCCUAAUAUUCUGGCGGCCGAUGGUAGAACUCCGCCAGAGAUGUGCCCUCCUAUUUCAAGCAGUAUGUAGAACCGCCUUUGAUGGACUCAAACAUCACUAAUCCUCCUGGUCUGAUGGCCUGAUGGGUGGUAAAAUUGUGAGUGAUAGGGUUUUUAACCGCAAGAGAUGGCCCGCUCUUUACUAGUGUGAAAAUUCAGUCUUGUCCAACCUGCCCAGUUCAUGAUGUUUUUAUUCAUGGACUAAUUUUCUGUACUCGUGGGAGUAUGUACUCCCAUCUAUAGUAUAACUUAUA